rnacentral:rRNA from 1 species
UACGUAGGGGGCAAGCGUUGUCCGGAUUUAUUGGGCGUAAAGAGCGUGUAGGCGGCCAGAUAGGUCCGUUGUGAAAACUCGAGGCUCAACCUCGAGACGCCGAUGGAAACCAUCUGGCUAGAGUCCGGAAGAGGAGAGUGGAAUUCCCGGUGUAGCGGUGAAAUGCGCAGAUAUCGGGAAGAACACCCGUGGCCAAGGCGGCUCUCUAGUACGGUACUGACGCUGAGACGCGAAAGCGUGGGGAGCGAACAGG